ensembl:lncRNA
CUUAUCUCUUGCAAGUGCACAAUGUCUCUCUCUCUGUGUGUGUGUGUGUGUGUGUGUGGAUUCUGGGAAAUGUAGUUCGUGACGAGGAGUGACCGUGUUAUACAUUUACUUUGGCUGCAUGUUUUUGUUUGGCUUCUGAAGUAGAGCAAAGACUUGUGUAUUAUUAUUCCCUGAUCUAAUAACCUAUUCUUUCAUUGAUAAAAGCACUGGUUUUUAUACCGAAAUGCCAUGUGUCUUUUCAAGUAUAGAUGAAAGUGAAAGUAAUUUUCCUGGCUUAAUAUAGAGCUGCUCUCAGAAGACAAGACAUUCCCUGAAAAACUUUCAGAAAAAGCUAUAGGGACAGUAAAAAUAAAUAGACAUAUUUAUUAUUUAUCAAUGGAUAAAGAGGAUCAGUUUGAAUUUAAGGCCACAGAGAUCCCUCAAAAGCCAUGCACAGACAUGCUGAAGGAGGCCUAUCUGAACCUGCUCUCUCUGCGCCUGGAAUUCCAGCGUGAACAGAGCACUCCGGAGGAAGGAGCUUUCCAAACGAAUCUGGUUAAUAAAGAGAAAGACCUCAGUCUGCUCUAUGGAGCACAAAAUGUUUGUUAUUGUACACAGCUCCAGUGCUCUGCCCUCACGCAAUAAAGAUCUGCUGGUGUAUGUAGCACACAUUAUCCUGGAGGAAGAGAAGAGGCAGGGAGAGCCAGGAGCGAUGCAGGGAUGGAGGGAAGCAUGGAGGGAUGCAGUACUAAACGGGGUUCAAGAUACACUGGAGAAAGUUCAUCUGGACAGCCAUGAGCAGAACGCUUCCUGGCUGGCAGUGCAUCUGGGGCUUCUGGGUAAAGCUGUGGAGGAGGAUUUAGAGAGAGUGAAGACUGAACAUCAGACUUUAUUGUGUUUGAAACCUAUGUGUCCUGCUAUCAUGAGGCUGUAGGAGAGCAUCUAAAGAGACUUCUGGAAAAGGUGAUAGAGUGAAAGAUUACUAUGCUCUUCUAGAGUUCAUUAUUCAUCGCUACCCCAUUGAUCUGAGAGUCCAUGAGAGUGCCCUUAUAAUGGCAGAGGACCGGAACAAAAUAAAAACUUCUUACUGUGAUUGCCAAUUGGGACCAUCCUUAAAAUGGCUUUAUCCACUGGGAGAUUACCUUAGCAACAUUAUUGGAAUGGAAAAUGAGAAAAAUAUAAAAGAUAUGCACUGGUUAGUAAUUACCCAGACAUCAGCAAGAAGCAGUUGUCAGCUGUUCUGUCCUUCAGAGACAAUGGUUUAAACUUUGAGAGUGACAAGAAGUGACAAGAAUCUGAUCACAUCACUGUACUGCCUUACUUAAGGAUACUUUAUAAAUACAUAUAUUUAUAUGUAUAUAGGCUGACAUGUAUUCUAAGUAUCUAAGUAUCACACUAUUAUGUUUACAGAGAUUCUCUUGGCCAUUCGGAUGCUUCGGGAACCAUCAGGAACUAUAAACAAUUGCAUUAUUUUAUGAGGCUACUUGUGCUAUUUGCCUCUAACCAUCCAUUAUUUUUUUAGCAAGAAUUUAACCAUUUAACUAUUAUUGUGCAGCCUUAUUUUGGUGUAUGUUUUGGUUGUUUGUACGUAUAUUUUCCAACAGAGGGAGACAUUAAACUAUAGAUGCAAAUUUCGCAUUUCCUCCAUAUUGCCUAAUCAUGCAUAAAGAGACUUGGUGGAUUCAGUCUAUCUACUGUUAUAUCAAUCAAUCAUCUAAAUGUGAAUUAUAAAACACAAUGCUGGACAAAACUGAGUGUGUGCUGUGCAAUAUUAACUCCAGGUGGACUCAGCUCUUGCAACAAAACCUAUUGGUUGGUUAUUCAUAUUUUGUCCCUCCCUCUUCUCUUGUUUAAUGCAAAUUUAAAAUUUUGCCUAAACCUAACAUUCUCUCUGAUUUUUAUCAAUGAACAAAACAUGUAGAUAAAAUUCAUUUUCACCGCUACAGUGUGUUAUUGAACAGAUAUUUACUUUUACAUACUUUCGCAAUGUUUUGGGGAUAUUUAUACAGAUAUUGAUGUGAGAUGCCAUCUUUGUUUACAUAAUCAUGUUUGAUUUUGUUUUAAUGACUUAACUAUAUGAGGUGGUGAAUUUAUUAAUGAAAUAAUUAUUAAACAUUUUACACAUUUCCACAUGCAAA